GAUCAGUGAGCUAUGGGCAGAACUGCCCUGACUAUAGGUGGCACCAUGCAAACAGGAAGGGAUCUGGGUGAAACAAAUGCAGAAGGAUGAAGCCCAAUAGCACAGCUUGUCUGGCUCUUUCUUGUUCUCUCUGCUUUCUGGCAAACGUGAGGUGCAUUCGGAAGCCCAAGAAGUCGUCACGGACCAGAGCUGACAGCCUCUCUCUCAGCAGGGUUGCAUCCAUUAAUGCAAUGCUUUGGUGGCAUGUGAGUCCUCAGGUAAGAAGUCUCAGGGUACCGCAGUGUGUUUAAUUGUCACGUCUCCGAGGCUUGUCUCAGCUGGGACUUUGGAUCUGGCAGCUUCGGCUCAGCUCUGCUUGGUGCCAACCCUCGUUGUUUUUGAUGACCUUGACAGAUUUUUUAAAAUUGUUCCUAUUAAAGCAACACAAGCUCUCCCAGCCAGCUCCUGUGUCUCUGAAACACCCUAGCAAUUCCUAGAAAGAGCCAUUUCUCCAAAUAACACUGUUCCCUCCCAAGAUCAGAAGCCAAGGUCUCUCCCUGGACACUACGUGUGCCCAUGCGUCCUGUGACUCUGUUGUUUCUGGGCCCCUCUCAGCUAAGAGGACAAGGAGACACAUGGUGUAUUCUACUUCUUGUACUUACGUGUAUUUACAUGAAAGCUUCAUUGAUGGAGAUUGACCUGCUUUUGAUCACAGCUCCAACACUUGUCAGCUAUGUGACCUGGGGCUAUACCUCAGCUCCCAGUAUGA